CACAACUUGAUUAUUUUAUUUGUUCGCCAGAAAAUUACGGGUACUAUAUUACCUAAAACUCAAAAGACUUGACGGUGUCCCACCCUACCUAGAGGAGCCUGUUCCAUAAUCGAUAUUCCACGCUCAACCUAACCACCACUAGCACCACAAACUCAGCCUAUAUACCGCCGUCAUCAGCUUACCCCUUAAAGGUCUUAUAGUAAGCAUAAUAGUAUUUAACUAAUACGUCAGGUCAAGGUGUAGCUCAUGUGGUGGCGUUAAUGGGCUACAUUAUUUAACCUAAAUAAUUACGGACUACCUCUUGAAACAGCCGUAUAAAGGUGGAUUUAGCAGUAACUUUAAGCAAGAAAACUUAAAUUAACACUCAGCCCUGGGACA
rnacentral:rRNA from 1 species